rnacentral:rRNA from 1 species
UACGUAGGGGCCGAGCGUUGUCCGGAGUUACUGGGCGUAAAGGGCGCGCAGGCGGCCCUUGAAGUCAGGCGUGAAAGCCCCGGGCUCAACCUGGGAGGUGCGCUUGAUACUCGAGGGCUUGAGUGCGGGAGAGGAGAGUGGAAUUCCCAGUGUAGAGGUGAAAUUCGUAGAUAUUGGGAAGAACACCGGUGGCGAAGGCGGCUCUCUGGACCGUAACUGACGCUGAGGCGCGAAAGCGUGGGGAGCAAACAGG